UACGAAGGGGGCUAGCGUUGUUCGGAAUUACUGGGCGUAAAGCGCACGUAGGCGGCUUUGUAAGUUAGAGGUGAAAGCCUGGAGCUCAACUCCAGAACUGCCUUUAAGACUGCAUCGCUUGAAUCCAGGAGAGGUGAGUGGAAUUCCGAGUGUAGAGGUGAAAUUCGUAGAUAUUCGGAAGAACACCAGUGGCGAAGGCGGCUCACUGGACUGGUAUUGACGCUGAGGUGGCGAAAGCGUGGGGAGCAAACACGG
rnacentral:rRNA from 1 species